UUUCUGCUUACCUUCAUUUCACUACACCUCUCUCUCUCUGCCAAUGAAAAAUUUCACUCUCUUCCAUACGUCUUUUCUACUUUCACAAUCGUGUUUCUCCUCUCAUCCCUCGCCGUCGUCGACUUGACCGCCACCGUCCACCUCAGCCUCAACACACCGCCGUCGUUUUUCCUUUUCUUGAGACCAGGUAUUUCUUUGAUAUUUGUUCCCGAUAAAUCAAAUUCAAAUCCCUAAAAAAGCAUCACCUUUUUUCUCUUCCGCGUUGGCAAACCUGAGACGGACGGCCACGGUCCCGACCUUAUCAGCACCGGAGGUGUACUAAAUAGUCAAUUGAGAACGAGCAGGUGGCCAUGCUCUUGGUUCUUUUUAUUGAAUAGCAUUGAGCAACAAAAUUGAAAAAUAACACUUGCAGAACAUUUUCAUUGUAAAUUUGAUCAAUGGGUUCUAGAUUUGUGGAAGGAGAACAAUCAUCACUCGCUGACGAUUAGGAUGCCUUGAUUUCGACGACUGAUGUUGAGCUUCUCAAGCGAGCUUGGCGUAAUGAAAAGGCAGCCCCCCUGAGAUUCUUCGUUUUGAAUCUGAUUUGAUCAACCGCGUCAAAGGACAGAUUGAAUUGAUGGUUGAGGACCACUUCAACAAAUUUGGAAUGGACAUUUGCAGAGAUCUCGAAGGUGAAGAUGAAAUAAGAAUUUUCAGACAUUGGCAGGACCAUUGUCGCUGCUUGCCGAAAGUGCAAUAAUCCUAAGGUUCACCUUGAUAGUCUUAGCUUCCACUUUCAAUAGUUAUGAUAUCCAAUUCUCCUCCCGUUGCUUUUUUUGUGAGAGGUGCCUUAUGACUAUGCAGCUGAUGCUUCUUUGUAGCAGCAGGGACCUCUGUUGGUUUAGUUUGACGAGUUUAUGUGUUUUGAUGAAUUUUUUAGUGGUUUUGCUGUUAUAUCUCUUUUGUUUGCCACAUUGUAAUGGUCUAAUUUGGUUAUGUUACAAACUUCUUGGUGUUGAACACUUCUGUAAUCUUUAAUUUUGUACUAUCAAUCUUAUU